CUGCAGUCGAGCGACAGACGAGAAGCUUGCUCCUCUGACGUUAGCGGCGGACGGGUGAGUAACACGUGGAUAACCUACCUAUAAGACUGGGAUAACUUCGGGAAACCGGAGCUAAUACCGGAUAAUAUAUUGAACCGCAUGGUUCAAUAGUGAAAGACGGUUUUGCUGUCACUUAUAGAUGGAUCCGCGCCGCAUUAGCUAGUUGGUAAGGUAACGGCUUACCAAGGCAACGAUGCGUAGCCGACCUGAGAGGGUGAUCGGCCACACUGGAACUGAGACACGGUCCAGACUCCUACGGGAGGCAGCAGUAGGGAAUCUUCCGCAAUGGGCGAAAGCCUGACGGAGCAACGCCGCGUGAGUGAUGAAGGUCUUCGGAUCGUAAAACUCUGUUAUUAGGGAAGAACAAAUGUGUAAGUAACUAUGCACGUCUUGACGGUACCUAAUCAGAAAGCCACGGCUAACUACGUGCCAGCAGCCGCGGUAAUACGUAGGUGGCAAGCGUUAUCCGGAAUUAUUGGGCGUAAAGCGCGCGUAGGCGGUUUUUUAAGUCUGAUGUGAAAGCCCACGGCUCAACCGUGGAGGGUCAUUGGAAACUGGAAAACUUGAGUGCAGAAGAGGAAAGUGGAAUUCCAUGUGUAGCGGUGAAAUGCGCAGAGAUAUGGAGGAACACCAGUGGCGAAGGCGACUUUCUGGUCUGUAACUGA
rnacentral:rRNA from 1 species